rnacentral:rRNA from 1 species
UACGGAGGGGGCUAGCGUUGUUCGGAAUUACUGGGCGUAAAGCGCACGUAGGCGGCUUUGUAAGUUAGAGGUGAAAGCCCAGGGCUUAACCCUGGAAUUGCCUUUAAGACUGCAUCGCUAGAAUCGUGGAGAGGUGAGUGGAAUUCCGAGUGUAGAGGUGAAAUUCGUAGAUAUUCGGAAGAACACCAGUGGCGAAGGCGACUCGCCGGACCGGAACUGACGCUGAGGCGCGAAAGCGUGGGGAGCAAACGGG